rnacentral:lncRNA from 1 species
AAACGCAGUAGACCCAGCAGGUCGGGCACGGAAACGUAUAGCUACACUUCCGGUUGCAGUUUUUUUUUGCAGUGACUGACACAGCUGGAGUGGGGGGAGGCCUGGCUCAAGUGAAAGCGAGCUACUGGGGGAAAUGGGCGACGUUUGAUUGGGAAAAGGCAGCCUACAAAC